UGCGAAGGGGGCUAGCGUUGCUCGGAAUCACUGGGCGUAAAGCGCACGUAGGCGGACUCUUAAGUCGGUGGUGAAAUCCUGGAGCUCAACUCCAGAACUGCCUUCGAUACUGGGAGUCUCGAGUUCGGGAGAGGUGAGUGGAACUGCGAGUGUAGAGGUGAAAUUCGUAGAUAUUCGCAAGAACACCAGUGGCGAAGGCGGCUCACUGGCCCGAUACUGACGCUGAGGUGCGAAAGCGUGGGGAGCAAACAGG
rnacentral:rRNA from 1 species